UGAUGACUGUUCCUCUUGCUGUCAUAAGCCUUAGACAGUAGGAUUUUAUGUCAUCAAAUAUUAAAGUUGACCUUUCUUCACUCAAAGUGUCUUUGGAUGGGUUUGGCUGUCCGUUGGCACUAUUGAAUUUUGCGGGGUCAGACAAUC